AACAGGAUUAGAUACCCUGGUAGUCCACGCUGUAAACGAUGAAUGCUAAAUAUGGGGAGUUUACUUUCUGUAUUACAGCUAACGCGUUAAACAUUCCACCUGGGGACUACGGUCGCAAGAUUAAAACUCAAAGGAAUUGACGGGGACCCGCACAAGCGGUGGAGCAUGUGGUUUAAUUCGAUGCAACGCGAAAAACCUUACCACUCCUUGACAUGGAAAUUUAUACCUAUUUCGAAGGGAUAGGGUCGGUUCGGCCCGGGAUUUCACCCCAGGUGUUGCAUGGCUGUCGUCAGCUCGUGUCGUGAGAUGUUGGGGUUAAGUCCCGCAACGAGCGCAACCCCUCAUCCUUAGUUACCCAUCAGGUAAUGCUGGGGACUUUAAGGAAACUGCCAGUGAUAAACUGGAGGAAGGUGGGGAUGAUGUCAAGUCAUCAUGGCCCUUAUGGAGCGGGCUACACACGUGCUACAAUGGUGGCUACAAUGGGCUGCAAAGUCGCGAGGCUAAGCUAAUCCCUUAAAAGCCAUCUCAGUUCGGAUUGUACUCUGCAACUCGAGUGCAUGAAGUUGGAAUCGCUAGUAAUCGUGGAUCAGCACGCCACGGUGAAUACGUUCUCGGGUCUUGUACACACUGCCCGUCACGCCAUGGGAAUUGGUUUCACUCGAAGCUAACGACCUAACCGCAAGGAGGGAGUUAUUUAAAGUGGGACCGGUGACUGGGGUGAAGUCGUAACAAGGUA
rnacentral:rRNA from 1 species